UGGGGAAUAUUGGACAAUGGGCGCAAGCCUGAUCCAGCCAUGCCGCGUGUGUGAAGAAGGCCUUUUGGUUGUAAAGCACUUUAAGCGAGGAGGAGGCUACUUGGAUUAAUACUCUAGGAUAGUGGACGUUACUCGCAGAAUAAGCACCGGCUAACUCUGUGCCAGCAGCCGCGGUAAUACAGAGGGUGCGAGCGUUAAUCGGAUUUACUGGGCGUAAAGCGUGCGUAGGCGGCUUCUUAAGUCGGAUGUGAAAUCCCUGAGCUUAACUUAGGAAUUGCAUUCGAUACUGGGAAGCUAGAGUAUGGGAGAGGAUGGUAGAAUUCCAGGUGUAGCGGCGAAAUGCGUAGAGAUCUGGAGGAAUACCGAUGGCGAAGGCAGCCAUCUGGCCUAAUACUGACGCUGAGGUACGAAAGCAUGGGGAGCAAACAGG
rnacentral:rRNA from 1 species